rnacentral:rRNA from 1 species
UUACAGAAGGUUGACCUCGGAUCAGGUAGGACUACCCGCUGAACUUAAGCAUAUCAAUAAGCGGAGGAAAAGAAACAACAGGGAUUGCCCUAGUAACGGCGAGUGAAGCGGCAACAGCUCGAAUUUGAAAUCUGGCCUCGGCCCGAGUUGUAAUCUGUAGAGGACGCUUUUGGCGCGGUGCCUUCCGAGUUCCCUGGAACGGGACGCCACAGAGGGUGAGAGCCCCGUAAGGUCGGACACCAAGCCUGUGUAAAGCCCCUUCGACGAGUCGAGUAGCUUGGGAAUGCUGCUCUAAGCGGGAGGUAUACUUCUUCUAAAGCUAAAUAUUGGCCAGAGACCGAUAGCGCACAAGUAGAGUGAUCGAAAGAUGAAAAGCACUUUGAAAAGAGGGUCAAAUAGUACGUGAAAUUGUUGAAAGGGAAGCGCUUGUGAUCAGACUCGCGCCGGGCGGAUCAUCCAGUGGUCUCCACUGGUGCACUCCGGCCGGCGCGGGCCAGCGUCGGCUGUUGCGGGGGGACAAAAGCUCUGGGAACGUGGCUCUCUCCGGGGAGUGUUAUAGCCCUCUGCAGAAUACCCCCGCGGCGGCCGAGGUCCGCGCAUUGCAAGGACGCUGGCGUAAUGGUCAUCAGCGACCCGUCUUGAAACACGGACCAAGGAGUCGAGGUUUUGCGCGAGUGUUCGGGUGCAAAGCCCCAGCGCGUAAUUAACGUGAACGUAGGUGAGAGCUUCGGCGCAUCAUCGACCGAUCCUGAUGUAUUCGGAUGGAUUUGAGUAGGAGCGUAAAGCCUCGGACCCGAAAGAUGGUGAACUAUGCCUGUAUAGGGUGAAGCCAGAGGAAACUCUGGUGGAGGCUCGCAGCGGUUCUGACGUGCAAAUCGAUCGUCAAAUAUGGGCAUGGGGGCGAAAGACUAAUCGAACCAUCUAGUAGCUG